GACGAACGCUGGCGGCGUGCUUAACACAUGCAAGUCGAACGGAAAGGCCCUGCUUGCAGGGUACUCGAGUGGCGAACGGGUGAGUAACACGUGGGUGAUCUGCCCUGCACUUCGGGAUAAGCCUGGGAAACUGGGUCUAAUACCGGAUAGGAGCCAUUUUUAGUGUGAUGGUUGGAAAGUUUUUUCGGUGUAGGAUGAGCUCGCGGCCUAUCAGCUUGUUGGUGGGGUAAUGGCCUACCAAGGCGGCGACGGGUAGCCGGCCUGAGAGGGUGGACGGCCACCUUGGGACUGAGAUACGGCCCAGACUCCUACGGGAGGCAGCAGUGGGGAAUAUUGCACCAUGGGCGCAAGCCUGCUGCAGCGACGCCGCGUGGGGGAUGACGGCCUUCGGGUUGUAAACUCCUUUCGCUAGGGACGAAGCUUUUUGUGACGGUACCUAGAGAAGAAGCACCGGCUAACUACGUG
rnacentral:rRNA from 1 species